rnacentral:rRNA from 1 species
UGGGGAAUUUUGCACAAUGGAGGAAACUCUGCUGCAGCGACGCCGCGUGAGUGAUGAAGAUCUUCGGAUUGUAAAACUCUGUCCUUAGUGAAGAUAAUGACAGUAACUAAGAAGCAAGCCCUGGCUAAAUACGUGCCAGCAGCCGCGGUAAUACGUAUGGGGCAAGCGUUGUCCGGAAUUAUUGGGUGUAAAGGGUAUGUAGGCGGUUUAAUAAGUCCUAAUUAAAAGGCUAUGGCUCAACCAUAGUAUGGUUAGGAAACUGUUGAACUUGAGUAGAUGGGGGGAAAGUGGAAUUCCAUGUGUAGCGGUGUAAUGCGUAGAUAUAUGGAGGAACACCAAUGGCGAAGGCAACUUUUUGGAAUCAAACUGACGCUGAGGUACGAGGGCGUGGGGAGCAAACAGG